rnacentral:lncRNA from 1 species
CAGAGUGGGUGGAGGAAUUAUAUAUAAAAAUAUAUUCCCCCUUCCAGGUGAUACCAGAAAUUGAACAUUGGAAAAUUCAUUCUUAGGAGCUGGGAAAGCGUGUCUCCUGGUCAAGUACACCUACCCUCAGGAGAGGCAGACUUAACUGACAAUCAGAAUAUGGAUGGCUGCACCAGUUUGCACUCCCACCAGCUUAAGAUGCUUUGCUGUGGCUCAACCUUGAGAGACUUAAGCUGAUUCCUUGAGAUCCGUUCGGAAGCUUUUUUUGGAGGUUGGGCUGGCAUUACAUUUGAGUGUGAAAUCUCCCUGAGGUGGCUGCCAGGCAUCCCUGUUAUAUUUGGGCUACCGGCAGUUGUAAAAAGCAAGGAAUUCAGACUGCUGACAGGUCCCAGGGUGAAACGACUUCCUGCAAUGGCUGCAAGUGGAAGCAAAAAGUGAAGACAGGAGGGGCCUGAGCUGAGGGCCACAGGCCCCAAGGAGUUACGGAGGCAGAAACCCUGGCGACAUCCACCAUCUAAGGGUCCAGGCUAUACAAAAACACACGGUGGGCUAGAUUUGGUCUUUGGGCCACCAGUUUGCCAACCCCUGCUCUACGCCAUUGUGAACACUGCUCACUCUGGUGAAGGCUAGCCACCAUGUCACUAGGACACUCAAGCAGACCUUUGAGAGGUGCAUGUGUGGUGAAGUUGAUGUGGAGAGGAACUAAUUCACCAGCACGAACUUGCCACCAGUGAGUGCAUCCUCCAGCCUCAAUCAAGCCCUUGGAUGAUUCCAGCCCUGUAGGACUAAAGUCUUCCAGCCGAGCCCCCAGACGUCACAGGGCUGUGUCCUGUCUGAAUUCCUGACCCAUAGAAACUGUGAGAUAAUA